AACUAUUACAUUCUUUGUUGUAGCGGUUGGAUAGUAGGUAAUCCCAUGAUCAUUGACAUUGGAAAGCUUUUCUGUGAGGUCUGAAUAGUAAAAGGAGGAACUCAAGAGCCUCUUUCCUGAGCUAAGUCCAAUAACUGCAGCUGUGGCCAUCAUAUAUAUGGAUAAAUUUCAGAAUUGUACAACAAUCAUCACAAGCUUUCAGAAAAUUGAUGAUAUCAAGUCUGCUGCUCUUCAAGCGUACUCAAUUCACCAGGCUAGGUGCAUGUA
rnacentral:lncRNA from 1 species